rnacentral:rRNA from 1 species
UCCGGGGGGGGCAAGCGUUGUUCGGAAUUACUGGGCGUAAAGGGCUCGUAGGCGGCCAACUAAGUCAGACGUGAAAUCCCUCGGCUUAACCGGGGAACUGCAUCUGAUACUGGAUGGCUUGAGUUCGGGAGAGGGAUGCGGAAUUCCAGGUGUAGCGGUGAAAUGCGUAGAUAUCUGGAGGAACACCGGUGGCGAAGGCGGCAUCCUGGACCGACACUGACGCUGAGGAGCGAAAGCCAGGGGAGCAAACGGG